GUGCUUGCUUCAGCAGCACAUAUACCAAAACAGGAACAAUACAGAGAAGUUGAGCAUGGCCCCCACUCAAGGAUGGCACAAAAUCCAUGAAACAUUCCAUAUGUGA
ensembl:snRNA U6 U6 spliceosomal RNA